AGAUUUAAUGUCCGGUGCGACCGACGGUGAUCCACAAGAUUGGCUUCAUCGAAACUACAAUUAUUCAAGGCAACGACCUGCAUCGUCAGAUCUUACUGAAGAAGAAAAGGAAAGAAGGCAUGCAAAAUCAAGAGAGUAUUAUUGUAAGAAAAUGGGCCACACAGCUUUGGAGAUGCAUCAGACUCCGGAUGGGACGGGGAUGCAAACGCUAGAUCACUGCUCGUCACAGCUCAACGCAGUUAAUAGUCCUUGGGACCAGCAGCAACGUAACAUCUACAUCGUCCAUGCUCAUGAUCUAUUUGUUUCGAAUGUACAUUACUCCUAUGCAGUAUAAUAUGUUAUUAAAACCAUAUGAUCUUUUUUGUCACAUUGUGAUUUAUAUAGUACUAUGUUAAACACAUGCGUGU